UGCCAGCAGCCGCGGUAAUACGGAGGAUCCAAGCGUUAUCCGGAAUCAUUGGGUUUAAAGGGCCCGUAGGCGGUCUGGUAAGUCAGAGGUGAAAUCCUGCAGCUCAACUGUAGCAUUGCCUUUGAUACUGCCAAACCUGAGUUAUUGUGAAGUAGUUAGAAUGUGUAGUGUAGCGGUGAAAUGCAUAGAUAUUACACAGAAUACCAAUUGCGAAGGCAGAUUACUAACAAUUAACUGACGCUGAGGGACGAAAGCGUGGGUAGCGAACAGGAUUAGAUA
rnacentral:rRNA from 1 species